rnacentral:rRNA from 1 species
UACGGAGGUGCAAGCGUUAUCCGGAUUCACUGGGUUUAAAGGGUGCGUAGGCGGGCAGGUAAGUCCGUGGUGAAAUCUCUGAGCUUAACUCAGAAACUGCCAUGGAUACUAUUUGUCUUGAAUAUUGUGGAGGUAAGCGGAAUAUGUCAUGUAGCGGUGAAAUGCUUAGAUAUGACAUAGAACACCAAUUGCGAAGGCAGCUUACUACACAGUUAUUGACGCUGAGGCACGAAAGCGUGGGGAUCAAACAGG